CGUUGAUCAAAUUCGAGGAUCUCUUCGUGGCAGAAAAUGGAAUUCGCUGGCGAACCAGAGAAAAAUUUCCAUGGGGUUGAUGCGGAUCACCUUCGAAGGAAGAACAUCGUGAGAAUGUUUGACGACAGAAGACGCUUUUCUCUUCGUCAAGAGACCAACAAAUACGAUGGAACAAUGUGAAGAUAAAAAAAAAUGUGUGUCCGAUGUUUCCGGUGUGCAAGGAAGAAGUUAGGAAGAGAAGAAGAGAGAAGCUUCGUCACGGAGGCCUCACAAGCAACGAUACGUGGGUAAACUCGGAGAAGACGUAUUGCACGUGAGUAGAGGACGACAGGCAGAAUGUUGGUUGAGUGACGUAUGAUACGAGGAUGAAGUUACGCCGUGGCGAACGACGUGUCGCCGAUUUAUCGAGUUAAGUCGUCCCAAGGCUUAUCGGCUUUCGUGUUCCCGGCCACUUGUUUUUCGCCAUCCGUCGAAUAUUUGUGACAAUUCACGCUGUCUGCCACUGUAUUUAUAGUAUGGUAUCGUGUCGCCAUGUAGCAGGUAACAUUUUUAUUUUCAUUGCAGUAGGUACGAUGAUGGAAAAGCGUGCAGGGUGAUUUAUGGAAGGUAGUCAGUGUUAAUUAGAAGGUUAAUGGAGAUCAUCCGAUAAAAGAGUUUAAGUUGAUGAUGGAUAUCGAUUGCUGGAAAUUACUUCACCUGAAUUUAACAUCGUUUCGGCAAUUCUUUUCUAUUUUUCAUACCAGGCUACGCGAAACCAUUAGAACGUUAUUUUCCCUGUCACUUUAACCUUUAUCUAUACAUUUUUCUUUCUAGUAGUCCAUUUUUCCAAUUUUUAUACUUCAAUCUUGCUUCCAUUUUGUGAAAUAAAAGAGAGUUCUCGCGUUUCAAGAUGUUCAACGUAUAACUGGAAGAGUCCAGAGAUCAAGCAAACAAAUAUAAUAAAUAGCAAAUGAACAAAUCUUAAACGAACUCUCGGAAUUCUCCUUUAUAGUCACAGCAUUGAAGAAAGGAAGAAGUUAAUCUAAAUCGAUUGAAAAUAAAAAUUGCAAAUGGAAUGUAUUGACAGAGAUAAUAGAGAUGAUCAGCGAGAUAACAAUUUCCAGAUUUCUAUUGAAAUUUCUUCUGAAGACAGCUUGCAGUCCCAGCAGGGUUCCAUACUUUCCACUUUAAUCGAACCUCAAAUUCUUCCUCCUGUCCGUGAACUAUCGUUUCUGCCAGCCUCGGACCAUCAGAUGGCCUUGGUCUUUUUGCACGCGCACCACUUGACGACGUGACCGUUUCCAUUGGCAGUGUGGGUCCUCUAUUUUUUCCCUGCUGGCAGUUUCGACAAAGAUACGCCUGUACAGAGCCAGUUUCAUCGAAGCCACCCCCUCACAUCUCUCUCUCUCUCUCUCUCUGAAGAUGCGUUUUCUCUCCAUUCUUCGUUUCCCUCGGCGGACGUCAGGCUCCUCCGGUCGCGGCUUCAGGAGAGCAGAGAGACGAUCAAUACGUCGCUCCAGAACGGAGAAGGAACGGAGCAGGCUAACGUUAUUGGGAGACUUUGUUGCUGAGGGUGGGGGUGGCGACACGAGGGUGGAGAGGGUAGGUCGAGGGAAAACGGAGCUUUUCCAGGCGAUUCCUCCGAGAAGAGGAGAGCACAGGCCUGGCUCCGAGCAGAUAUGCCCGGCUAUGAGCGCGAAAAGAUGAUGAGACGAAGGGUGGCCCCUGCCUUUUACCCUCUCCCUUUCGCCUGUGAUCCGGUUGACAGGGA